GAUGAACGCUAGCGGGAGGCCUAAUACAUGCAAGUCGAACGGUAACAGGGUAGCAAUAUCGCUGACGAGUGGCGCACGGGUGAGUAACACGUACACAAUCUGCCUUAUACUGGCGCAUACCCCCAAGAAAUUGGGACUAAUUCUCCAUAACAUAUUGAAAAGGCAUCUUUUUAAUAUUAAAACUCCGGAGGUAUAAGAUGAGUGUGCGUCUGAUUAGCUAGUUGGUAAGGUAACGGCUUACCAAGGCAACGAUCAGUAACUGGUCUGAGAGGAUGAUCAGUCACACGGACACUGAGACACGGGUCCGACUCCUACGGGAGGCAGCAGUAGGGAAUAUUGGACAAUGGGCGCAAGCCUGAUCCAGCCAUCCCGCGUGAAGGAUUAAGGCCCUUUGGGUUGUAAACUUCUUUUUUGGGGGAAUAAAAACCGGUGUUCACACUGGCUUGAAGGUACCCCAAGAAUAAGCACCGGCUAACUCCGUGCCAGCAGCCGCGGUAA
rnacentral:rRNA from 1 species